UUUCAAUAAAACUUAUUUUCCAAAUAUAUUUGCAUCAUUACAUUUAAUUCAUUAUUUUCAUGGAAUUAUCUUCUAUAAUUAAUUUAAUUCUUUCUUUCCAUGUUAUUAUCAGUCAUCCAUGGAUGUUUCUUUUCAAUCAACCUGAGUUCUUUUUAAUUCAAUAUAUUGAUAUGCUUCUUUGUUUUUAUAUGCUUUACUUCCGCACUCUUAAUUCUAUGGACGGCUUUGCCGCCUGCUGCUGUUAGUUCCACCCCAUUUGGUAUAUAUAUAUAUUAAGCAUAGGAUCGUUUUUUAAUUUCAGCGGAGCUCUGAGCCUCUGACUGCUGAACUGGGUUUUUACUCACUCUUCUCAUGGUGUUAUUCACUAAUUUUCUUAUAUUGGAUUAUGUUCAAAUCAGCAAUGCUGGUGAUCAUUCAAUCAUGUACCGUUUUCCUUUAAAAUUUUAACAAAUAAAAUAACCAUAAUCAUCAAUCCUACAAUUUGAUUUUAAACUUGGAGUUCAAGAUUGAGUACUUGUACAAAAGUCGCAAGUUUUUCUUGAAGAAGAUUGUCUGAUUGAUUCAGAAACUGUCCAGAGUUUAUUUCGUUCUGUUACAAUGGAUUGCGCGCAUUGUCCUCAACGAUUUGAUGGUCACAGGCAUGAACACCACAAGUAUUUGAUUGUCGUUGUUCAAGUAUUUUUAUUCGGCGUGGGAGAUCAUGAUCAAAGGAUUUGGAUAUUGUUGGAGUACAAUAUUGAUCGAAAUUUCUCCUUUUGUCUUGCAUCGCCAUGAUGUUGUUGAGUAUGCUUGCAGUUUGAUUUAAUGCGCCAUUUUUACUUUUAGGUUCGUAUCCAUGGCAUCAAAGUUUCCACCGAAGUUGGUUCAGGCGUCAAACAUUUUAUUCAAGAAUGGAAGUACAUAUUACAAGCAGAUGGUAGAGCAGAACAAGCACCAUGUCCAGGAGCCCCCCACCAUUGAGAAAUGUCAAACAUUAGCAAAACAACUGUUUUAUACUCGUCUUGCCAGUUUGUUACGAAGCAUUCGGGAAGGAAGUUGGCCAUUUCAAGAAUGCAAUAAAAAGCAAGGAGGAGCUGAAUGUGGAGAAUGCUGACGUUGAAUGCUUCGCCUGGUUCUGCGGUGGAGAGAUCACAGGAAGGGGAUUUACAUUUACCGGCUACUACGUUUGAGCGAUGCCACCUCAGGAGUAAAUCUUUUAGUUAUUUUUUGGAGAUUACAUGCAAGUGCCCCUGAGUCGCGAUUUUUACUUUGCAUGAUAAGUUUUGCUUUCUGCGAUGUAUAAGUUAUAAGCUGGAAAGCCAGCAAAAAGACAUAUCUUACAAAAUAAUGCAAUAUAUGGAAUCAGAUCUAUAUUUUGA